UCCAAUUACAUUGUUGCUGUGCGUGGCUGUUGCAGCCUUGGCCAAUGAGGCUGCGCUCAAGAAAUAUGCUUACAUAAAGAUCAUGAGCAGCUGCAUCGGAGAGGAAGCGAUGAUGCAAUUCGAAGGCGCGAUGAAGGAGGCAGAGACGAAGUGCCAAGGAGAUGCCAUGAUGGAGGACAUGCCUUCCCUCAGGUCUUAUCUGAUGGAGCUGAGGGAAGCUGCCAGUCGCCCAGUCUACAUUCCAGUUCCAAUCUAUCAGCAUUACGCUUUACCUCAACAGCAGC
rnacentral:lncRNA from 1 species